rnacentral:rRNA from 1 species
AGCAGCCGCGGUAAUUCCAGCUCCAAUAGCGUAUAUUAAAGUUGUUGCAGUUAAAAAGCUCGUAGUUGAAUUUCGGGAUUAGUACGUUGGUCGUGCCUUCGGUACGUACUGGUGUUACUGGUUCCUACCUUCUGACGAACCAUCAUGUCAUUAAUUUGGUGUGGCGGGGAAUCAGGACUGUUACUUUGAAAAAAUUAGAGUGUUUAAAGCAGGCUCGCGCUUGAAUACAUUAGCAUGGAAUAAUGAAAUAGGACGUUGACCCUAUUUUGUUGGUUUCUAGGAUUGACGUAAUGAUUAAUAGGGAUAGUUGGGGGCAUUAGUAUUCAAUUGUCAGAGGUGAAAUUCUUGGAUUUAUUGAAGACUAACUACUGCGAAAGCAUUUGCCAAGGAUGUUUUCAUUAAUCAAGAACGAAAGUUAGGGGAUCGAAGACGAUCAGAUACCGUCGUAGUCUUAACCAUAAACUAUGCCGACUAGGGAUCGGAUGAUGUUAUUUUUAAUGACUCAUUCGGCGCCUUACG